rnacentral:rRNA from 1 species
GACGAACGCUGGCGGCGUGCUUAACACAUGCAAGUCGAACGAAGAGCGAUGGAAGCUUGCUUCUUUCAGUCUUAGUGGCGAACGGGUGAGUAACGCGUAAUCAACCUUCCCUUCAGGGGGGGACAACAGUUGGAAACGACUGCUAAUACCCCAUACGAUCUAAUCGCGGAAUCGAGGAUAGAUGAAAGGUGGCCUCUACAUGUAAGCUAUCACUGAAGGAGGGGAUUGCGUGGGAUUAGGUAGCUGGGGGGGUAACGGCCCACCCAGGGGAGGAUUAGUAGGCGGUCCUGGAGGAGUGAUCGCCCAAUUGGGACUGGGACCAGGCCCAGAAUCCUACGGGAGGCAGCAGGUGGGAAACUUUCGCAAAGGACGACAGGCUGACGGAGCAACGCCGCGGGAGGGAUGACGGCCCUCGGGUUGGAAAGCUCCGUUAAUCGGGACGAAAGGGCUUCUGGCGAACAGUCAGAAGGAUUGACGGUACCCGAAUAGAAAGCCACGGCUAACUACGUG